rnacentral:rRNA from 1 species
ACUAACGUUUAUACCGCGCUGAAUAAAUUCGUUCUCGUCCGAUCACGAAAGUUAAGCAGCGCUGGGCAUGGAUAGUACUUAGAUGGGUGACCGCUUGGAAACUCCGUGUGAUGUUGGUU